rnacentral:rRNA from 1 species
UACGUAGGAGGCGAGCGUUGUCCGGAGUUACUGGGCGUAAAGGGCACGCAGGCGGUUCGGCGCGUUUCGCGUGACAGCGGAGGGCUUAACUCUCCGAGGAUGCGAAAGACGGCGGCACUUGAGGGCCAGAGAGGGACACGGAAUUCCGGGUGGAGUGGUGAAAUGCGUAGAGAUCCGGAGGAACACCGAAGGCGAAGGCAGUGUCCUGGCUGGUGACUGACGCUGAGGUGCGAAAGCUGGGGGAGCGAACGGG